GACGAACGCUGGCGGCGUGCCUAAUACAUGCCAGUCGAGCGGACGAUUCGAAAGCUUGCUUUUGAAUCGUUAGCGGCGGACGGGUGAGUAACACGUGGGCAACCUGCCCUGUAGACGGGGAUAACACCGAGAAAUCGGUGCUAAUACCGGAUAACACGAAAUGUCGCAUGACGUUUCGUUUAAAGGCGGCGCAAGCUGCCGCUACAGGAUGGGCCCGCGGCGCUUUAGCUAGUUGGUGAGGGAACGGCUCACCAAGGCGACGAUGCGUAGCCGACCUGAGAGGGUGAUCGGACACACGGGGACUGAGAAACGGCCCAGACUCCUACGGGAGGCAGCAGUAGGGAAUCUUCCGCAAUGGACGAAAGUCUGACGGAGCAACGCCGCGUGAGCGAAGAAGGCCUUCGGGUCGUAAAGCUCUGUUGUUAGGGAAGAACAAGUAACGUAGUAACUGACGUUACUAUGACGGUACCUAACGAGAAAGCCACGGCUAACUACGUG
rnacentral:rRNA from 1 species